rnacentral:rRNA from 1 species
UACGAAGGGGGCGAGCGUUGUUCGGAUUUACUGGGCGUAAAGGGCGCGCAGGCGGUCAUUUUUGUCGAGUGUGAAAGCCCCGGGCUUAACCUGGGAACUGCGCUCGAAACGGGAUGACUAGAGAUCGGGAGAGGAGAGUGGAAUUCCCAGUGUAGAGGUGAAAUUCGUAGAUAUUCGGAAGAACACCAGUGGCGAAGGCGGCUCACUGGUCCGGUACUGACGCUGAGGUGCGAAAGCGUGGGGAGCAAACAGG